AUUGAACGCUGGCGGCAUGCCUUACACAUGCAAGUCGAACGGCAGCACGGGUGCUUGCACCUGGUGGCGAGUGGCGAACGGGUGAGUAAUACAUCGGAACGUGCCCAGUAGUGGGGGAUAGCCCGGCGAAAGCCGGAUUAAUACCGCAUACGACCUACGGGUGAAAGCGGGGGACCGGAAGUCCUCGCGCUAUUGAAGCGGCCGAUGUCUGAUUAGCUUGUUGGUGGGGUAAAAGCCCACCAAGGCGACGAUCAGUAGCUGGUCUGAGAGGACGAUCAGCCACACUGGGACUGAGACACGGCCCAGACUCCUACGGGAGGCAGCAGUGGGGAAUUUUGGACAAUGGGGGCAACCCUGAUCCAGCAAUGCCGCGUGUGCGAAGAAGGCCUUCGGGUUGUAAAGCACUUUUGUCAGGGAAGAAAUCUUUCAGGCUAAUACCCUUGGAAGGAUGACGGUACCUGAAGAAUAAGCACCGGCUAACUACGUGCCAGCCGCCGCCGUAA
rnacentral:rRNA from 1 species